rnacentral:rRNA from 1 species
GCACAAGCGGUGGAGCAUGUGGUUUAAUUCGAUGCAACGCGAAGAACCUUACCUGGCCUUGACAUCUGUCGAAUCUUGCAGAGAUGCAGGAGUGCCUUCGGGAACGACAAGACAGGUGCUGCAUGGCUGUCGUCAGCUCGUGUCGUGAGAUGUUGGGUUAAGUCCCGCAACGAGCGCAACCCCCAUCAUUAGUUGCCAUCAGGUAAAGCUGGGAACUCUAAUGAAACUGCCGUCGUAAGACGUGAGGAAGGAGGGGAUGAUGUCAAGUCAUCAUGGCCUUUAUGUCCAGGGCUACACACGUGCUACAAUGGCCGGUACAAACCGCUGCAACCCCGCGAGGGUGAGCUAAUCGGAAAAAGCCGGCCUCAGUUCGGAUUGGAGUCUGCAACUCGACUCCAUGAAGCUGGAAUCGCUAGUAAUCGUGGAUCAGCAUGCCACGGUGAAUACGUUCCCGGGC